UCUUAGACGUUGAUUGUAACAAUCUUUCAAGAUUAGUGGAUUAAGUCCUUGUUGAAGGCGAAAUCACCUUGGCCGGGUGGACUGGAGUAGCUUUGUGUUAUAAGCGAACCAGUAUAAAAUCCUGUGUGAUUUUAUUUUGCUCCGGGUGGACUGGAGUAGCUUUGUGUUAUAAGCGAACCAGUAUAAAAUCCUGUGUGAUUUUAUUUUGCAAAAGCGCUUAUUUUCCAAAACAAUUCAAACCCCCCUUU
rnacentral:lncRNA from 1 species